UACGGAGGGUGCAAGCGUUAUCCGGAUUCACUGGGUCUAAAGGGUGCGUAGGCGGGCAGGUAAGUCCGUGGUGAAAUCUCUGAGCUUAACUCAGAAACUGCCAUGGAUACUAUUUGUCUUGAAUAUUGUGGAGGUAAGCGGAAUAUGUCAUGUAGCGGUGAAAUGCUUAGAUAUGACAUAGAACACCAAUUGCGAAGGCAGCUUACUACACAGUUAUUGACGCUGAGGCACGAAAGCGUGGGGAUCAAACAGG
rnacentral:rRNA from 1 species